GAUUUAACAGGGAGGUCGAUUUAACAGGGAGGUCGAUUUAACAGGGAGGUCGAUUUAACAGGGAGGUCGAUUUAACAGGGAGGGUGAUUUCACAGGGAGGAUGAUUUAACAGGGAGGUCGAUUUAAUAGGGAGGUCGAUUUAACAGGGAGGUCGAUUUAACAGGGAGGUUGAUUUUACAGGGAGGUCGAUUUAACAGGGAGGUCGAUUUAACAGGGAGGUUGAUUUUACAGGGAGGUCGAUUUUUACGUUUUAUAUAUUCACAAACGUCUCUGUAUGCAAGUCUUUAUGUGCACAAGAAAUGUAAAAACAAACCAAACAUACACCUCAGCACAAAAUAAAGACUAAUGAAACAGAA
ensembl:lncRNA